rnacentral:rRNA from 1 species
AGAUUGAACGCUGGCGGCAUGCCUUACACAUGCAAGUCGAACGGCAGCACGGGAGCAAUCCUGGUGGCGAGUGGCGAACGGGUGAGUAAUACAUCGGAACGUGCCCAGUUGUGGGGGAUAGCCCGGCGAAAGCCGGAUUAAUACCGCAUACGACCUACGGGUGAAAGCGGGGGAUCGCAAGACCUCGCGCUAUUGGAGCGGCCGAUGUCGGAUUAGCUUGUUGGUGGGGUAAAAGCCCACCAAGGCUACGAUCCGUAGCUGGUCUGAGAGGACGACCAGCCACACUGGGACUGAGACACGGCCCAGACUCCUACGGGAGCAGCAGUGGGAAUUUGGACAAUGGGCGCAAGCCUGAUCCAGCCAUGCCGCGUGCGGAAGAAGGCCUUCGGUGUAACCGCUUUGUCAGGGAAGAACGGU